rnacentral:rRNA from 1 species
AUUGAACGCUGGCGGCAGGCCUAACACAUGCAAGUCGAGCGGAUGAGUGGAGCUUGCUCCAUGAUUCAGCGGCGGACGGGUGAGUAAUGCCUAGGAAUCUGCCUGGUAGUGGGGGACAACGUUUCGAAAGGAACGCUAAUACCGCAUACGUCCUACGGGAGAAAGUGGGGGAUCUUCGGACCUCACGCUAUCAGAUGAGCCUAGGUCGGAUUAGCUAGUUGGUGAGGUAAAGGCUCACCAAGGCGACGAUCCGUAACUGGUCUGAGAGGAUGAUCAGUCACACUGGAACUGAGACACGGUCCUGACGCCUACGGGAGGCAGCAGUGGGGAAUAUUGGACAAUGGGCGAAAGCCUGAUCCAGCCAUGCCGCGUGUGUGAAGAAGGUCUUCGGAUUGUAAAGCACUUUAAGUUGGGAGGAAGGGCAGUAAGUUAAUACCUUGCUGUUUUGACGUUACCAACAGAAUAAGCACCGGCUAACUUCGUGCCAGCCGCCGCGGUAACAC